rnacentral:lncRNA from 1 species
GUGCUCCCCGACCAGCUGGAGUGGAAACGUCAGGUGUGAGCUCCAGGACUUGCUCCACCCCUGGUCAGAGUCUCCUGAGAGGUCAACCCAAUCCCAGGGUGAAAGACCUCAGGGGGCGUUUCCAACUUUCCCCUUGCCCCGGGAUGGAGUGCGGAGGAGAGAGACCUCAUUCACCCUCAGCUGACUUGGCCGUCAGUGCACACGGCAGUGACUCAGGAAAGACCAGCAGGCCCCAGGAGGACGGAGGGAGAAGACGUGACAGUUGUGACAAGGUCUGUCUGGGACUGGCAUGUCCUCUGGUCUGUCUCCUGAGAUGAGGACGCUCUUCCCAGGUUGGAAAGUUCAGGGAGAGGAUUAGGACGAUCAAUUCUUUUUGGAGGCUCUUUCAGCAAAUAAGGGGAGUUCAGAGAGAACACUCUGCGUUCACGUUUUCACGUGGCUUCUGCUCAAAAUAUUCUACACACCCAUGAGGUGUAUUUUGAGAUGGUGUGUCCUGGACCCCUCAGUAGCAAAACUUAUUUUUAAAAAUUUAGAAUAUAUAAUUUGGUUAUCAACAAGAUUGUCAUAACUAAAUAAGUUAAUUUUUUUCAACACUCACACAGAUUUCUACAUUAAGGUUGGAGUCCUUGGAGUGCUUGGACAUCAGUCCUCUAUCUCUGCUACGUAUAAUUUGUGCAAGCUGGAGGAAACCUCUAGCUCUUCUGUGCCUCCGCUUCCUCAUCCAUGAAAGGGGGCUCAAUUUUAUACCCCUGACAGGUUUUGGUGAAGAUGAAGAGUUGACAUUCUUGAGGGAGUACCUGGCACAUAAUUAACACUCAAUAAGUGCCAGCUCUCGUCGUUGUAAUAUUGUCACAGCGCUUUAAGAAAGAAUUUUGCACCGGGGAGAGAACAUGAAUACGGAAAAUAAAUAAAACACCAGAAGGGGCAGACCUGUACACACACUGAGGAUGUGCACUUUCAAGUUUCAAACAAUUCUGAGGAGCACUUAAGUUUGACCUCGUCUCCCAGAGCACAGAGGAGAGUUCCCUCUUAUUUUCCUGCAAUUUUAAGACUCUUUCCACUGUCAACGAUGCAAACCAGCUUAGGGCAGAAGGGCUAAGGGUGGCCAGGAGAGCACACUGCCCGAGAGGCAGGGUUGGAGUUUCACCAGGAACACGCAGACUUUGUUCUGCCCCAAAUGUCCCUCACUGGGGCAGUGCAAUGGCAUCCGCCAGGUGCCUGGGCUAAGGGCUUCCUAAGGUUAUCUUCCUGCAGAUCCCAUGUCCACACAGAGGACCAGCAUCCAGGGCCCCAUCCUAACAAUUCCAAGAGCAAUGUGAAUCUUCUCUCUUGAUCCAGCUGGAAAAAUCCCCAGGAAGUCUCUGAUUGGUUAUUGAUUAUCCUUGACCUACGCACAUCGGAUCCUGGAGGCCGAGGGAGAGGCGAGGGGUGUUGGGGGUGUGGGUGAUUUGGAGAAGGAGGCAAAAGGAUGCAGACUUCACCCGUGGAGCAGCCGCUGCUGCAGGAGAGCCCUGUCCUCCCUGAUCAGUGCCUAGAGUCACCCCUCCAGGCUGAAGCCACCCAGCGGUUCAUGGACACCCAUCUGUUGGUGGCCAUGGGAUAUGACCAGGAGCGUUCCUGCCUGCUAGACCCAGACCGUGCCCUCCGGGGUGAGUGGGAGAGGAAGGAGCUGCUCUCCGGUCCUCAGGGAAUGACCUCACCCCAGAACUGGGAGCCGGUGAAAACAAACACACGUCUCAGUCCACUCCCAACCCCUGGGUUCCGCGCACUUGAUGUCCAUAAAAUCUCCACCAUCUCCACCGGUUAUAAAGUUGGUUAAAUAGUUUUUUGAGGUCUUGCUCUGUACUCCGACUUCCUCACCUUUCAAGUUCCCUUCGAAUCCCUCAGGUCCGUCUGGAAGCUCUAAGAAAGACUGUUUUUAUGAAUCCUGUAAACAGGGCAGAGCAUCGGCUUGUUUUCAUUCCGUCAUGGGCCGCGCGGCCCCCCUCCGGGGCUGUGGGGAGCCACAGGAGGCAUUUUCCAGGGUGACUGCCAGAAUAAACACCGCCCAAAGGCCAGCCGGGCCUCACCACUGCCCGCAGCUCUGCUUCUCGCUCUGGGAGGGAGGAGAGACCCCUGACCUUCUGUGAAGAUUUCAACACAGCCCGUUCUCCAGGGAAUUAGAAUUUGUAUGUUUUAGUCCACUCUGCAACAAUAUCAGAAAAUCCCGCCCCGCUUUUCGGUGGGGUGUACUUGAUGGUAGUGGAAUGUUUCAACAUUGUGUUUUUAAGGCUAAUAACAAAGGAAUUUCACAUUCCAGAACCCUGAGGGUACACAAGAAGAAUCUAAAUAAUCAGACUGUAGAGGUUACGUUGACCCAGCCAUGGAAAACAGAGAUCUCAGAAAAACUCUGGGAUUGGGAAAUAUUUCUGGCCAUACAUGACCUGCAACAUCGGGAAUACCCAAAGCCCCCAAAAUGGAGCUAAAACAAAUAAAAACAAGAUGAGGGUAUUGGGACGGACUGUUAUACAGAGGUCCCCCCUUAUCCUCAGGGGCCUUCUCCAAGACCCCCUGUGGGGGGUCCAUAGAUAAUACCAAACCUUAUGUGUACUAUGUUUUUCCUAUAUACACAUACAAACAAUGAGAUUUGUUUUAUAAGUUAGGCAUAUUAAGAGAUUAACAACAAUAACUAGUAAUAAAAUAGAAUGAUUAAGACAAUAUACUGUAAUAAAAAGUUAUAUGAAGGUAGUCUCUCUCAAAAUGCCUUAUUGUAC